UGCCAGCAGCCGCGGUAAUACGUAAGUCGCAAGCGUUAUCCGGAAUUACUGGGCGUAAAGCGCACGUAGGCGGAUUAGUAAGUUAGGGGUGAAAUCCCGGGGCUCAACCCCGGAACUGCCUCUAAUACUGCUAGUCUUGAGUUCGAGAGAGGUGAGUGGAAUUCCUGGUGUAGAGGUGAAAUUCGUAGAUAUCAGGAGGAACACCGAUGGCGAAGGCAUCUCUCUGGACCGAUACUGACGCUGAGGCGCGAAGGCGUGGGUAGCGAACGGGAUUAGAUA
rnacentral:rRNA from 1 species